GAGCGCCUCUUCACUUUCUCGACUCUUUCAUACGGUGAGGCUUUCCACGGACGGCAGCCUCCCCUGGCCCUCCGCCGAUCGGACGGCGAUGUUCCCCGAUGGGCCGUUGGAGCUGCAACCUGAUAAUUGUCCUGUCGAGAAGCUCCACAUCGAUCGGACGAGUGCUGGCCCCAGAUUUGACACCCCAUUGUGCGUUUGGACCUUAAGGUUUAACUAUUUCAGAUUUGCAAGACUUCAGCUUUGUUGUCGGUCAAGCCCUUGGAAUCGAGGUGUCGUAGCCGGGGUGUUGAUCAGUGUCUCUCAGUCUGGACGUCGGUUGAUGGCUCGCCGUCGGGAUGCUGGUCGACGACUCCAAGGUCGGAAUGCUUGUGGCUCGAGGGUGGCCACUUUCCUGCAAGGAUAGCCUAAAAAUGUUGAGGAACUGAUGCGUCAUGGCUGACGAGUCAGCAUGGCCUGGUCAACUGAGCUGGUCGCCAAGGUCGAUCAAGCCCUUGGAAUCGAGGUGUCGUUGCCAGGGUGUUGAUCAGCGUCUCUCGAUCCGGACGUCGGUUGAUGGCUCGUCGUCAGGACGUUAGUCGAUGACUCUAAGGUCAGAAUGCUCGUGGCUCGAGGGUGGUCGCUUUCCUGUAAUAAUGGCCUUCGUCGAGUGAUUGCCGACUGUGGCCCCUCCGACGAGCAAGUUAGUCGUGGGUUGAUUUGUUUUGUCUCCCCCUGGGUCGGAUGCCAGCCAGGGGUUUUUAUACUACUGUACGAGGGUCGGUUGUACGCGGGUUUGGCGUGACGAUCGAUCCUCGAGAGGUGAGAUGAUAUCUUUGUGCGGUCGUCGUCCCGGGGCACGCGUAACGGCACCAUGUGAUGUCGUCCCGAGCUUUCCGGGAUGGGACGUACCGAGUAGCACCUUGGUACGGAUUCUGGCUCGGCGCUUGGGGGUGCUCCUCUUGCUGACUUGACUGUAGCAUGGCAUGACGUCGAUCGUGACGUGGCCUAACCCCAAAAUAUACCUUAUCAGUAUGAAUUUUAGGUUUAACUA